GACGAACGCUGGCGGCGUGCUUAACACAUGCAAGUCGAACGGUGAAGCACCUUCCUUUUGGUGGGUGUGGAUGAGUGGCGAACGGGUGAGUAACACGUGAGUAACCUGCCCCCUUCUUCUGGAUAACCGCAUGAAAGUGUGGCUAAUACGGGAUAUUCUGGGUCUGUCGCAUGGCGGGCCUGGGAAAGAUAUUGUUUCGGUGGGGGAUGGGCUCGCGGUCUAUCAGCUUGUUGGUGGGGUGAUGGCCUACCAAGGCGGUGACGGGUAGCCGGCCUGAGAGGGUGGACGGUCACACUGGGACUGAGACACGGCCCAGACUCCGACGGGAGGCAGCAGUGGGGAAUAGUGCACAAUGGGCGCAAGCCUGAUGCAGCGACGCCGCGUGAGGGAUGGAGGCCAUCGGGUUGUAAACCUCUUUCGCCAGUGAAGCAGGCCUGUCCCUUUUGUGGGUGGGUUGACGGUAGCUGGAUAAGAAGCGCCGGCUAACUACGUG
rnacentral:rRNA from 1 species